rnacentral:rRNA from 1 species
GACGAACGCUGGCGGCGUGCUUAACACAUGCAAGUCGAACGAUGAACCGCUUCGGCGGGGAUUAGUGGCGAACGGGUGAGUAACACGUGGGCAAUUUGCCCUUCACUCUGGGACAAGCCCUGGAAACGGGGUCUAAUACCGGAUAAUACUUCUGCUCUCAUGGGCGGGGGCUUGAAAGCUCCGGCGGUGAAGGAUGAGCCCGCGGCCUAUCAGCUUGUUGGUGAGGUAAUGGCUCACCAAGGCGACGACGGGUAGCCGGCCUGAGAGGGCGACCGGCCACACUGGGACUGAGACACGGCCCAGACUCCUACGGGAGGCAGCAGUGGGGAAUAUUGCACAAUGGGCGAAAGCCUGAUGCAGCGACGCCGCGUGAGGGAUGACGGCCUCGGUUGUAACCUCUUCAUGCAGGGAAGAAGCGAAAGUGACGGUACCUGCAGAAGAAGCGCCGGCUAACUACGUGCCAGCAGCCGCGGUAAUACGUAGGGCGCAAGCGUUGUCCGGAAUUAUU